rnacentral:rRNA from 1 species
CAGAUAAGGAGCUUGCUCCUUUGACGUUAGCGGCGGACGGGUGAGUAACACGUGGAUAACCUACCUAUAAGACUGGGAUAACUUCGGGAAACCGGAGCUAAUACCGGAUAACAUAUUGAACCGCAUGGUUCAAUAGUGAAAGGCGGCUUUGCUGUCACUUAUAGAUGGAUCCGCGCCGUAUUAGCUAGUUGGUAAGGUAACGGCUUACCAAGGCAACGAUACGUAGCCGACCUGAGAGGGUGAUCGGCCACACUGGAACUGAGACACGGUCCAGACUCCUACGGGAGGCAGCAGUAGGGAAUCUUCCGCAAUGGGCGAAAGCCUGACGGAGCAACGCCGCGUGAGUGAUGAAGGUCUUCGGAUCGUAAAACUCUGUUAUCAGGGAAGAACAAAUGUGUAAGUAACUGUGCACAUCUUGACGGUACCUGAUCAGAAAGCCACGGCUAACUACGUGCCAGCAGCCGCGGUAAUACGUAGGUGGCAAGCGUUAUCCGGAAUUAUUGGGCGUAAAGCGCGCGUAGGCGGUUUUUUAAGUCUGAUGUGAAAGCCCACGGCUCAACCGUGGAGGGUCAUUGGAAACUGGAAAACUUGAGUGCAGAAGAGGAAAGUGGAAUUCCAUGUGUAGCGGUGAAAUGCGCAGAGAUAUGGAGGAACACCAGUGGCGAAGGCGACUUUCUGGUCUGUAACUGACGCUGAUGUGCGAAAG